UUUUUUGCUACUUGCACCAUACUUGCCUGCUGUUUACACCCUUUGUUCAUGUUAAUUUUCAUCAAUAAAUUCCAAGAAAUUUACCAUGUCAUUUCACUAUUUUUCUUGAUAAUUUUCAGUGGUAUUUUACUUGGAAAAGUUGAUAAAAAUUUUAGUGUUGUUUUGUCAAGGGUCUUUACUAUUUUAAGUCAUUUUUCUCGCAUUUCUACCCGUUACUUCAUGUACAUAAUGUUCGUGUUCGUCAUGUUUGAUUUGCAUACUAUUCCAUGUGAAUUUUGCUACUGUUUGCUAUGCAUAUGUCACUGUUUUGAUGUGUUGAGUUUUGUUCUUGCAUCAUGCGCAUUAU
rnacentral:lncRNA from 1 species